ensembl:lincRNA
GUCGAUAAUGGGACAAAAUUUCUAAUUUGGGAACCUAAUUUUCUCUGCAAAUCUUCUUUACAUCUCUAGCUUAUUAAUACACCUCAGAAGUGUUACAGGAUUUAAUCAGCAGGAUUUUGAAGAAUAUUUUGAGAUUAUCCUCCCCUGAGUGGCAGCAGAAUGGACUAAAAUAUUCGUCAAAUCAAGAAAACAACUUUACUAAGAAACAAGGAAAUAAAAUAAUCUCA